GUGGGGAAUAUUGGACAAUGGGCGAAAGCCUGAUCCAGCCAUGCCGCGUGUGUGAAGAAGGUCUUCGGAUUGUAAAGCACUUUAAGUUGGGAGGAAGGGCAGUAAGUUAAUACCUUGCUGUUUUGACGUUACCGACAGAAUAAGCACCGGCUAACUUCGUGCCAGCAGCCGCGGUAAUACGAAGGGUGCAAGCGUUAAUCGGAAUUACUGGGCGUAAAGCGCGCGUAGGUGGUUCGUUAAGUUGGAUGUGAAAGCCCCGGGCUCAACCUGGGAACUGCAUCCAAAACUGGCGAGCUAGAGUACGGUAGAGGGUGGUGGAAUUUCCUGUGUAGCGGUGAAAUGCGUAGAUAUAGGAAGGAACACCAGUGGCGAAGGCGACCACCUGGACUGAUACUGACACUGAGGUGCGAAAGCGUGGGGAGCAAACAGGAUUAGAAACCCUUGUAGUCC
rnacentral:rRNA from 1 species